rnacentral:rRNA from 1 species
UCCUACGGGAGGCAGCAGUAGGGAAUCUUCCGCAAUGGACGAAAGUCUGACGGAGCAACGCCGCGUGAGUGAUGAAGGCUUUCGGGUCGUAAAACUCUGUUGUUAGGGAAGAACAAGUGCUAGUUGAAUAAGCUGGCACCUUGACGGUACCUAACCAGAAAGCACCGGCUAACUCCGUGCCAGCAGCCGCGGUAAUACGGAGGGUGCGAACGUUGUUCGGAAUCACUGGGCGUAAAGCGCGCGUAGGCGGCACGUCAAGUCAGAUGUGAAAGCCCAUGGCUCAACCAUGGAAGUGCAUUUGAAACUGGCGAGCUAGAAUACGGGAGAGGGUUGUAGAAUUCCUGGUGUAGAGGUGAAAUUCGUAGAUAUCAGGAGGAACACCAGUGGCGAAGGCGACUUUCUGGUCUGUAACUGACACUGAGGCGCGAAAGCGUGGGGAGCAAACAGGAUUAGAUACCCUGGUAGUCCACGCCGUAAACGAUGAGUGCUAAGUGUUAGAGGGUUUCCGCCCUUUAGUGCUGAAGUUAACGCAUUAAGCACUCCGCCUGGGGAGUACGGCCGCAAGGCUGAAACUCAAAUGAAUU